CAGUGGGUCCCUGUUGCUCCCUGUUUGGGCUCUUAGAUCUCAUCAGAGAAGUUUCCUUGUACAUCGGACGUGAUAAAUGCAGCGACACGACCAGUCAAUGUGCAAGAAUGCAGUAUAAUCACCUACUUCAAGCUCCUGCCACCAUGACUUCCUGCCUUGAUGGACUGUCACCUCC